rnacentral:siRNA from 1 species
CUAGAUAUUCGGAUUUUGGUUCGG